GGAAUAUUCCACAAUGGGGGAAACCCUGAUGGAGCGACGCCGCGUGAGUGAAGAAGGGCUUCGGCUCGUAAAGCUCUUUUCUCCUUGACGAAUUAGUCUUCGGGACAGUUGACGGUAGAGGGGGAAUAAGCCACGGCUAACUACGUGCCAGCAGCCGCGGUAAUACGUAGGUGGCAAGCGUUGUCCGGAAUUAUUGGGCGUAAAGGGAGCGCAGGCGGGUUUGCAAGUCUCACUUAAAAGUUCAGGAGUAAUGCCUGUGAUGGGUGGGAAACUGCAAAUCUUGAGAGCAGGAGAGGCAAGCGGAAUUCCCUGUGUAGCGGUGAAAUGCGUAGAUAUCGGGAGGAACACCAGUGGCGAAGGCGGCUUGCUGGACUGUAUCUGACGCUGAGGCUCGAAAGCAGGGGUAGCGAACG
rnacentral:rRNA from 1 species